rnacentral:rRNA from 2 species
AGUAAGAUCCCUGAAAGAUGAUCAGGUUGAUAGGUCUGAGGUGGAAGCGUGGUGACACGUGGAGCUGACAGAUACUAAUAGAUCGAGGACUUAACCUAUAUU